ensembl:Mt_tRNA
UAGAUUGAAGCCAGUUGACUAGGGUAUUUAGCUGUUAACUAAAAUUUCGUGGGAUACAGGCCCACCAAUCUAG